rnacentral:pre_miRNA from 1 species
GAAGUACUCCCUCCAUCCAGAAUUACUUGUCAUCAAAAUGGAUGUGUCUAGAACUAAAAUACAUCUAGAUACAUCCAUUUCAAUGACAAAUAUUUCCGGACGGAGGGAGUACAAG